rnacentral:rRNA from 1 species
CGCGUAGGCGGUUUGGUAAGUUGGAUGUGAAAACUCUGGGCUUAACCCAGAGCCUGCAUCCAAAACUGGCAAGCUGGAGUUUUGGAGGGGGAAGCGGAAUUCCUGGUGUAGCAGUGAAAUGCGUAGAUAUCAGGAGGAACACCGGUGGCGAAGGCGGCUUCCUGGACAAAACUGACGCUGAGGCGCGAAAGCUAGGGGAGCAAACA